CAAAACGACUCUCGGCAACGGAUAUCUCGGCUCUCGCAUCGAUGAAGAACGUAGCGAAAUGCGAUACGUGGUGUGAAUUGCAGAAUCCCGUGAACCAUCGAGUUUUUGAACGCAAGUUGCGCCCGAAACCUUUUGGUUGAGGGCACGUCUGCCUGGG
rnacentral:rRNA from 1 species